rnacentral:rRNA from 1 species
AGUGAACGCUGGCGGUAGGCCUAACACAUGCAAGUCGAACGGCAGCACAGUAAGAGCUUGCUCUUACGGGUGGCGAGUGGCGGACGGGUGAGGAAUACAUCGGAAUCUACUUUUUCGUGGGGGAUAACGUAGGGAAACUUACGCUAAUACCGCAUACGACCUACGGGUGAAAGCAGGGGAUCUUCGGACCUUGCGCGAUUGAAUGAGUCGAUGUCGGAUUAGCUAGUUGGCGGGGUAAAGGCCCACCAAGGCGACGAUCCGUAGCUGGUCUGAGAGGAUGAUCAGCCACACUGGAACUGAGACACGGUCCAGACUCCUACGGGAGGCAGCAGUGGGGAAUAUUGGACAAUGGGCGCAAGCCUGAUCCAGCCAUACCGCGUGGGUGAAGAAGGCCUUCGGGUCGUAAAGCCCUUUUGUUGGGAAAGAAAAGCAGCAGGUUAAUACCCCGCUGUUCUGACGGUACCCAAAGAAUAAGCACCGGCUAACUUCGUG